AGGAGGAAGAGUACGCUCCCUCUCCUUUCUUUCUGUCUGUGUGUCUCUCCCCAUCUCUCUGUCUCUAUCUCUGUCUGCCUGUCUGUCUGUCCCUUUGCUUUUAUGAUGGUGACCAGAGGAUGCUGUGUUGGAGAACCAGCCAAGUAGCCAAGUCACCCAAACACAGAGCCCACAGAAGUGGAUGGGAGCAGGGCCCACACCCCAGGAGAUGCGGACCACAGUCCCGCGCAAGUCCUGUCUGGGAGAACGUGUGUGGGUGCAAACUGGGGACUCGGGGGGCUGCCAAGAUCAGUAAGAGCCUCAGUUUCCUCCGGGCUGCAGGCGGGUCGCCCAGUGCAGUGUUGCGUGUCACCAGGGCUGUGUCAGCAUUUGCCAAAUUUCACUAGCCUCACGCCCUCCUGUGUCUUCUGUUCCCAGCACGUGGAAUUCUCCAGCUGGGCUAGACAGAACCUAAUUUUGCCAAAAGACACCAGUGUCUGACAUUCUCAGUUCUUUAAAGCAAAAGUUCUCUUAACAGUCCCUGAAGAGUGGGAGAGUUUAGCAAUUAAGACUAUAAUUUUUGCAAGACACAGAGAAAACAGGGCUGGAUGGUACGUGCCAGUCCCUCCCCACAAGGAAUUGACAGCUUCUUAAAGCGCACACCUCACCGCCGGGCAGGGAUCCUGGUGUCCUCACUGACCCACACGGGCAGGCACCAUUAAUCGCCAACCCAGUAUCCAUUUCCCCGCAUCCUAACAGAACUCCAGUUAUGUCCAGGCAGGUAACACGUGCCGCAAAAGUACUCACCUUUUCAGACUCACCUGAAGCUAAGGGUGGUCACCUGACUCUUCUGGCAAACAAGACAUAAACAGCAAUCUGCUGGGACUUCUGAGAAAGCUUUUACUUCCCGGCAACAGGCACCACUCUUCCUUCUCCCAUUCUUUCUUCCUCCUUGAACUGCAGAAGCAAUGCCCGGAGCUGUAGCAGCCACCAUACAAUCAUGAAGCAAUAUCCUGGGGGAUGAAAGCCAACCUGAAGAGGGUGGAGCAGAGACAUGAAAAAGGCAAGGGUCCCUGAUGGCAUCACUGGGUCACUGCCCAAAUGGAGGGCCUCCCAUGUGACUUCUUAUAACAGGAGACAAAGACAUUAUGAAACCUGGGUUGGUCAGGGAGCAUGUGAUUUGCAGGGGAACGCUCCUAGGAUGCACCUGAGUUUACACGGAGGCUUUGUCAUCUGAUCAGAAGAGACCUGGGCUGAAGGCCCUGCUGUAAAGACACAGGAGGUGACCACUGACCGGCUUCCUGGGCCAGCUUCCCCUGCUGAGGCUGAGUGUCCGGGUUCUGUGCGUCCCAGAGCCCUGCGCUGUGACCGAGCGCCCUGGGCGAUCUUGGAGUCCUGGGUGGGGGGUGGUCUGCUAACAUGUUAGGCAACAUAAAGGCAGAAGCUCGGCUUCUCUGGACCCCAGUUUUUGUUUGUUUGAUUGAUUCCCUUUUGUUUUUACUCUAAAUUAGGCCUCCCUCCUGAUCUAUCCUUCUCUUUGCCCGGCUGAGGGCGGCAAGAUUGCCAGUACAUGGAGGUGGAAAGGGCAGGAAGAUUUCACUGGAAAACUUUUCUGACUCUGAUGAGAUAAUCAUCUGUUGUUGGAGGUGGGAGCAGGUGUCCCCACGUGAAACAGAGCUGGGUUUUACCCGAGAAGUGUUUUGGUUUCCUUCCUGUUUUACAAGAACACACACCGAGUAUCACUGAUGUUGGUAUGAACUCAGCACCUGAGCACAAAUAUUUACAUUCCAGGUGAGUUAGCCUCGCUCCCAGGUCUGCUGGGUCAGCUCAGGGACCAGCACGUACCCAGGAAAGAACGCCCUGGCCGGGGCCCCGGAGGCUCCGGACUCCUGAGGGUGGACACGUGAAGCCUUUGACCCGAUUUGCUGGGUGAGACUCCUGAGAAAUGAGAACGGUUCCCUCCUCGUGGCCCUUGCUCUGCAAAUCCUCAGCCUGGGGCCAGACCCACCCGGCUGCAUUCCAUCCACUGACCCCGCAGCCGGACACAGGACAGAGGCCAUGCGGGGACCCUCCCACUGCCUCCUUCAGGAAGAGCUGUUCCCGCCAGGCUUCCCAGAGGGCUGGCCGCCCUGAGAAAUCCAAGCCCCACUGGUUGUGUAAGGCUGGGCUCCGGGGAUUUGGGGGUGGGGGACCCAACAGAAACCUUUGACUCCCUGCUCUGUCCUCCCCGCCCUGCUCCCCACCCUGGCACCGCAAAUCCAGCAGUGAGGAGCCGGCUCGUCUGCCCCCAUAAUUGUCAACAAUAGAACUCCUGUUGCUACUACCCCUGUAGACAGCUCCGACUGCUCACGCACGUUGCCGGGCUGGGAGAUGGAGCCGAGAGGCCGGGGCUCGCGCCUUUCCGGCGCUGGCUCCUCUGUCCUGAUCCGGGCCAGCUCUCCGGCUGCACGCUCCGAGGACUCAGGGCCAGGCUGUUAAUUUUGUACCUCUGUCUCGAGACAUGGUGCUUGUAUACAGUUAGUGCCCAAUGCUUCCUCCUUUGGGAUAUCCUUUUUCUAUUUGACUUAAGGACAUGCGUUUGGCUUUGAAGGGCUUGCUCUUGCUUUUGAAACUCAAAAAGUGAUCUGAUGAGGCUACAAUCGCUUAGGCACCUUCUUUUACCUGAGGCUUUCAGAUAAUUCACAUCACAGGGUGUUUAAUGCUCAGACUGGACCCAUUUGGGGCAAAGUACUAAGGAACACACACACACGUGUGCACACACAUGGCCUAGACAGGCCAUGUUUUCUCAAGACUAAAGACCUCACGCACAGUAAGAUACUCUAUCAUUUUAUGAACAUCUAACCAAAAGUAGUGGCUGCCACCUGAACUACGCUACGCCGUCAUUUAGAAAAUGUCUCCCCAUUUCAGAGAUGUUAAAAUGUGGCUGUGAGUCCGGGAGGUACAGCAGUUAAGCAUCUUGACAGGAUGUGUGCUGUCAUGUUAGAGAGACCAGACUUCUAUACCUGAAAUAGAUUAAAAACCAAGAUAGUCUGUACUUAAGAACUACACAGUUCGGCCCAGGGGAGACGCUUCAUGGGAAUUCAGAGGGGAGAAACACCAGCUGGGCGGAGGCGGAUUGAGGAAGGAUUUGAAAGGAAGGUGAAGUUAUUUGAGCCUUGAAGAGUGAGGCUCUGAAUGCAAGGAGGGGCCGGGAGGUGGCAUCAUGGAAGGUCCUCGGCGCUCAGGCGUGGGCAGGGAGGUGAGGCGGGGACAGGCCCGGGCAGGGGCAGCAGUGCCGGGCAGCCGUCACACUGACUGCAGCUCGGCUGUGGUGGUAGGGGUGCCCGGUCACCUGUACACAGAGCUCUUCGCACACUGUCACGUCACCAUCCUCACGGCCCGGCGGUGAGGCAGGUUCCCCAGGAGCACAAGUCGUGCACUCAGUAAGUGCUUCCAGGAGAGCCUGGUAAGGGACCGGGACGGACAACCAGCUCAGGAACCGGAAGAAGGCCAAGUACCAGCUUGAUCCCAGGGGGGCACCGAGUGUGCGUAUGUCACGUCUCAGAGAACGGAAGCUGUGGGUGCACCUGUCAUCCUGGGCUGGUGGAAGUGGGGCCCGGGAGGAUGGAAAUCCCCAUGCACUGCAGACUUGCUAAGAUGUGUGGCAAAGUGACUCCUCCAGGAGGUCCUCCAAGGAGACCUGCAGCCAACGGCCGAGAACUGGAUUUGAUUGCACAGUAAAGAAACUUGAAUUAAAAUAAGAGAGACAGAACCAUCAGUGAGCUGUAGAAUUCCUCAACUAUCUUUUGUUCCCUUUGCUCUACAUUAAAAUAGAAAGAUGGAGUCAAGCAUUGAAUGUCUGCAAGCUGGCUGUUACACUGCUGACAACUUCUCAUCAGACAUAGUCAAGAUGCUGCAGGCGGAGGACUGGCUCCGGUUCAGGAACUAGGCAAGAGAUUUUGAAGGACAUGCAGUGAUGGGCUAGUAAACCGGCUUUCCAAAAAAAGGUCGUGGUUUGCGGUGUUUGCCCAUUUCCUUGAUGUAAAUGCUCCCACCCCAGAAGGAAGACUCCUACAGUCAAGACACAAGUCAAGAUACUGACUCAAAAUCAGCCUUGCAACCUGGGAAUAAUGACUGAAAUUAGUGCUGCUUUAAAGACCAGGAGGAUGUGGGGGUGGUUCCCAUAACACCUCCUUUCACCAGUGCGGCCCCUGAAACACCCAGACAGAUCCUGAAAAUGACAGUGAACUACUGCAAACUCAGCCAAGGAGCAGCCCCAGCUGCAGCUGCUGUGACAGACGUGCCUUAUUUGCUGGAGCAGCCUCACCCAGGACUCACCCAGGAUUCAAUGCACAGUAAACACCUGCCGAUUUGGUGAGCGCAUGUGUAAAUGAGAAAUACUGCAGCCGGAUCAGUAAACAAAGGAUGUGGUGGCCAUCAAGUCAUCAGACACUGCAGCCACCGCUGACUGUGAGUCUGGCCUCUGCAGCCACCCCCAGCAGUGCACCCUGGGGAACUCAGGGUGGAAAAGAACAGGACACUGGCCCUAGACAGCUAAGGUGCUCAUCAAAGGAGUGAUUUCAGUGAGCCCAGACUUUUGCACCUUCUCACGUCUCGAAAGCGCUAAAUUCCUUCACUUGAGAGGUCUGGCUUUCUUUAAUUAACAAUUAUCUUUUGAUGUUCCAACUAUUUGGUCUUUGUUGCAAAAACUCUUAUACAUCCUGGCUCCUCCUUUGCCUCUUUGGAGCAGUCUAUUAUAGUGAUCUGAGAGGUCAAUUUUGGGGCUCGAGUUCUCAGAAAAUCUGCUGAAUAAAA